GACGAACGCUGGCGGCGUGCCUAACACAUGCAAGUCGAGCGAAUGAAGUUCCUUCGGGAACGGAUUUAGCGGCGGACGGGUGAGUAACACGUGGGCAACCUGCCUCAUAGAGGGGAAUAGCCUUCCGAAAGGGAGAUUAAUACCGCAUAAGAUUGUAGUACCGCAUGGUACAGUAAUUAAAGGAGUAAUCCGCUAUGAGAUGGGCCCGCGGCGCAUUAGCUAGUUGGUGAGGUAACGGCUCACCAAGGCGACGAUGCGUAGCCGACCUGAGAGGGUGAUCGGCCACAUUGGGACUGAGACACGGCCCAGACUCCUACGGGAGGCAGCAGUGGGGAAUAUUGCACAAUGGGGGAAACCCUGAUGCAGCAACGCCGCGUGAGUGAUGACGGCCUUCGGUUGUAAAGCGUCUGUCUUCUAGGACGGAUAAUAGACGGUACCUGAGGAGGAAGACCACGGCUAACUAACGUGCCAGCAGCCGCGGUAAGUAUAAGCGUACU
rnacentral:rRNA from 1 species